rnacentral:rRNA from 1 species
UACGGGGGGGGCAAGCGUUGUUCGGAAUUACUGGGCGUAAAGGGCUCGUAGGCGGCCAACUAAGUCAGACGUGAAAUCCCCAGGCUCAACCUGGGAACUGCGUCUGAUACUGGAUGGCUUGAAUCCGGGAGAGGGAUGCAGAAUUCCAGGUGUAGCGGUGAAAUGCGUAGAUAUCGGGAGGAACACCAGUGGCGAAGGCGGUUACCUGGAGCUUUGCUGACGCUGAUGCGCGAAAGCGUGGGGAGCGAUCCGG